GGUUAAGCGACUAAGCGUACACGGUGGAUGCCCUGGCAGUCAGAGGCGAUGAAGGACGUGCUAAUCUGCGAUAAGCGUCGGUAAGGUGAUAUGAACCGUUAUAACCGGCGAUUUCCGAAUGGGGAAACCCAGUGUGAUUCGUCACACUAUCAUUAACUGAAUCCAUAGGUUAAUGAGGCGAACCGGGGGAACUGAAACAUCUAAGUACCCCGAGGAAAAGAAAUCAACCGAGAUUCCCCCAGUAGCGGCGAGCGAACGGGGAGCAGCCCAGAGCCUGAAUCAGUGUGUGUGUUAGUGGAAGCGUCUGGAAAGGCGCGCGAUACAGGGUGACAGCCCCGUACACAAAAAUGCACAUACUGUGAGCUCGAUGAGUAGGGCGGGACACGUGGUAUCCUGUCUGAAUAUGGGGGGACCAUCCUCCAAGGCUAAAUACUCCUGACUGACCGAUAGUGAACCAGUACCGUGAGGGAAAGGCGAAAAGAACCCCGGCGAGGGGAGUGAAAAAGAACCUGAAACCGUGUACGUACAAGCAGUGGGAGCCUCUUUAUGGGGUGACUGCGUACCUUUUGUAUAAUGGGUCAGCGACUUAUAUUCUGUAGCAAGGUUAACCGAAUAGGGGAGCCGAAGGGAAACCGAGUCUUAACUGGGCGUUAAGUUGCAGGGUAUAGACCCGAAACCCGGUGAUCUAGCCAUGGGCAGGUUGAAGGUUGGGUAACACUAACUGGAGGACCGAACCGACUAAUGUUGAAAAAUUAGCGGAUGACUUGUGGCUGGGGGUGAAAGGCCAAUCAAACCGGGAGAUAGCUGGUUCUCCCCGAAAGCUAUUUAGGUAGCGCCUCGUGAAUUCAUCUCCGGGGGUAGAGCACUGUUUCGGCAAGGGGGUCAUCCCGACUUACCAACCCGAUGCAAACUGCGAAUACCGGAGAAUGUUAUCACGGGAGACACACGGCGGGUGCUAACGUCCGUCGUGAAGAGGGAAACAACCCAGACCGCCAGCUAAGGUCCCAAAGUCAUGGUUAAGUGGGAAACGAUGUGGGAAGGCCCAGACAGCCAGGAUGUUGGCUUAGAAGCAGCCAUCAUUUAAAGAAAGCGUAAUAGCUCACUGGUCGAGUCGGCCUGCGCGGAAGAUGUAACGGGGCUAAACCAUGCACCGAAGCUGCGGCAGCGACGCUUAUGCGUUGUUGGGUAGGGGAGCGUUCUGUAAGCCUGCGAAGGUGUACUGUGAGGUAUGCUGGAGGUAUCAGAAGUGCGAAUGCUGACAUAAGUAACGAUAAAGCGGGUGAAAAGCCCGCUCGCCGGAAGACCAAGGGUUCCUGUCCAACGUUAAUCGGGGCAGGGUGAGUCGACCCCUAAGGCG
rnacentral:rRNA from 1 species